rnacentral:lncRNA from 1 species
GGGAAAACCUCGCUCCCUGGAUCCUGGAUGAGCUCCAUUAUCACCAUGGUAAAUAGCGUUAUGAUUGCCCGUGUUUUUUUUGUGUGUUGCAGCGGUGGGCGUGAGGAUGAACCGGCGCGGGAAAUCAGGCGCGCGCCGCAGCUGACGCAGAGGCCGUGGUGUCCUCGCUUUUCCCGCGGGCGCGGCCUCGCCGGGAUCCUCUUAAGACGGAAAUGCUCUUCAACGUCUCCUCCACGUAUCAUUCGGGACACACGCCGUUUCCAAGCUGCCAGGCUAAGCGGUCAAGAACUGAUUCAGGUGCUAGGACCCCGGACGCUCUAAGGAGUUCCUCAGCGGACGGAGGCGGUGAUAACAGCGGUGGAGGAGGCGUAGGCGGAGUGAGUGCGGGCGUGGUCGUAGGCGGAAGCGGGCGGCGGAGCGAGAGCAGCGGCGGAAGUGUGGUGGAACCUGCCGCAUCGGGCGGCGCCCGAGUCCAGCUCGGACCCGAGCGACUCCUCGUCCGGUUCGCCGGGCCCCACGUCGGCCCAGCCGCCGGCCCCCGACCUCCAUUUCCAGGCCCACCCGGUCUCAGGAGGAAGUGACAGUUUAGUGGACAGUAAUGCCGGGAACCCGUCCCUUAUCCAUUCGAAUUUUUUGACCUCUGCACCCAGCGGAACCACCCCGUGGUCCCUCAGCUCACAGCAGUCCGAUGGUUAGAAUUUAUUAUAUUAUCGUUAUUUCAUCAACGUUUAAAGAACUUUUAAUUUCUCUCUUAUUCAGAGGUGGCACAGGUAUAAUAUGAUGCAUGUUUGAAAAUGUGAGUACAAGUAACAAGCAUUGGCACCAGGAUUUUUGACUCAUGUCUCCAGCCACAAGGAGUGUUAAUGGGUCACUAAACCUCGAGCAUUUUAUUUAAUAUUUUGAAAGUACCAGGUGAGUAGAUUAACGUGGUGAUUUAUUCCGUAUUUUUGGAGUCAAAAUUCGAGACAACCCCAUUCUUAAAAAUUUCAAAAACUCGAAGGAAUUUUAAACGCGUCCGAACGGCUGCAAAAUGGAGGAAGAGAUGCACAACGGUAGUCAAUAUAUCUCCUCUCAUUUUCAACUGGUGUUAGUUAAAAUAAAUUGUAUCUCAAUGUGGAAUUGUUGCUUGCUACCUGCGGAUAACAUACAUG